rnacentral:rRNA from 1 species
UACGUAGGGUGCGAGCGUUGUCCGGAAUUAUUGGGCGUAAAGAGCUCGUAGGCGGUGUGUCACGUCGUUCGUGAAAACCUGCAGCUUAACUGUGGGCGUGCGGUCGAUACGGGCAUCACUGGAGUUCGGCAGGGGAGACUGGAAUUCCUGGUGUAGCGGUGAAAUGCGUAGAUAUCUGGAGGAACACCGGUGGCGAAGGCGGCAUCCUGGACCACGACUGACGCUGAGUGAGCGAAAGCCAGGGGAGCAAACGGG